ACAGUAGUCCCAAAGUUUGGGGGGAAGGGGGACAAAACAAGUUGUCUCCUCAGUCCCUCCUCCCGGGCUGCUUUUCUUACUGCAAGUGUGUUCUUGUAAAAAUGAUUAGAUUGCAAUUUGUAUAACGUGGUGACCCCCAAAUUCAGACAUUUCACCCCUUUUCUCUGGAAAGAAUGUUAAGAAUGCUUCUCGGCCUCUCACUGUGUGGGGCGGGAGGCGGGUGCAGAGCCUUCGCUGUCGCACAACUUGUGUGGGAACAGCGCUGCCGCUCAGAGCCCCAGGCCAAGACAGGAGCAAGGGCCGGGUCUGUCACUAUAGAGGGCCAGACAAAAAGUCCAUUCCCUUCCAACUCCUGUGCACAAAGCCCAGGCCUCCAGGAGCCGCUGAGGCUGGGGGGCCGAGCCUGACUCCAGCAAUUCUCUCUCAACCCAGGGAAAGAUAAAGACAGAUGGGGCCGCCCCUGUGAGCCUGAUGAAUGCAACUCAGGCUGAGAGAGCAGCCUAAAGGAGACCUGUUCCUGCAGCCUGGCUGUGUGUAGCCUCCCUUUGGGAGCCCCCAGAGUACCUGGGCAGAAAAAGCCAGCAGAGUGCGGCCUCAUCCCAGGGACCCUUGAGGAGGGGAUCAGGUUCUAUGAAGACUCAGUGUUUGGGGUUUCAUAAGAGAAUGCCAUUCGAGGAGUUGGUCCCUUAGAACUCCAUCCUGACCAUAAAUCUGUGCCCACCAGGGCAACCACAGGUAGAAGAGGCCACUCAAAGGUUACCCAACCUUCGAGACAAAGCUGGGCCACAGUGGUGCACCCGGCCCUACCCCGCAGGCUUGUCUGCCAUCCUCAACCCAGGCCAGUGAUGAUGCCAAGCACAAGGUCCAGCUACAUGACUAAAUAAAGCUGACUUUCAGCAGAA